CAACUACUCCCUCUGUCCCAAAUUUCUUGUCUUAGAUUUGUCUAGAUACGGAUGUAUCUAAUACUAAAAUGUGACUUGAUACAUCCGUAUCUAGAAAAAUCUAAGACAGGAAUUUUGGGACAGAGGGAGUAAUUU
rnacentral:pre_miRNA from 1 species